rnacentral:lncRNA from 1 species
GUGCUUAGGUGUUCUUUCAUUUGUAUUCAUCCUAUUUGAGGAGAGAGAGAUUUGGAGACACAGAUUCCCAGGGAGGAGUACCAUGUGACUACAGGGGCAGAGACUGGAGCAAUACAGCUGCAAGCGGAGGAAUGUCAAGAAUUGCCAGCAACCACCAGAAGCUAGGAAGAAAAAGGAAGACUCCUCUCUGGGGCCCUCAGAAGGAACAUGAUGGCCAAUACCUUAAUUCUGGACAUCUGGCUUCCAGGACUGUGAGAGAAUACAUUUGUGUUGUUUUAGCCACCUAGUCUGUGGUAAUUUGUUACAGGAGCUGUCUAAGAAACUAAUAUAAUAUGUUAUGCUGAAUUAUUUUAUUUUAUAUUAUGUAUUUCUCUACAGCUGGAAAUAAGUUAUUAUUAGUGUCAUGUGUCCCAUAUAUCAUGGGUUGACAUUUCAAUUCUAAUUAAAGAAGCAACUAUUUUGACA